rnacentral:rRNA from 1 species
GCGACUGAACUGUCACUAGCUCAGCAUGUGAAUCCGCGUCCACUCUCGUGAGCGCUGAAUUGUGGUCUUUUGGURCUUGCGUUAAUUCAUGUCCAGUCCAUGUUUUUUGGAACAAAACAGCAAAGAGGGUGAAACUCCCGUGCGACUGGACGAACAAAGCAAGCACUACUGAGUCGAGUUGUUUGGGAUUGCAGCUCAAAUUAGGUGGUAAAUUUCAUCUACAGCUAAAUACUGGUAGGAGACCGAUAGCGUACAAGUACCGUGAGGGAAAGAUGCAAAGAACUUUGAAAAGAGAGUGAAAGAGUACCUGAAAUUGCUGAAAAGGAAGCUAACGAACCUAGUGAAAGCAAUGUCAUACUUUCCAACUUGCUCGCAACUUGGACGCUGUGACUUGCCAUGUUUCACUCCAUUGYUGCUGAUAUACACACAGGUGCAAGCAGGUGGAGAACAG